AGCCCCGAGGUGUUAUUACAUGUUAGACUGCAAACCUAAAGAAGCAGGGUAAAACCUGCCGGGGCUU
rnacentral:tRNA from 1 species